rnacentral:rRNA from 1 species
AGUGAACGCUGGCGGUAGGCCUAACACAUGCAAGUCGAACGGCAGCACAGUAAGAGCUUGCUCUUACGGGUGGCGAGUGGCGGACGGGUGAGGAAUACAGCGGAAUCUACUUUUUCGUGGGGGAUAACGUAGGGAAACUUACGCUAAUACCGCAUACGACCUACGGGUGAAAGCAGGGGAUCUUCGGACCUUGCGCGAUUGAAUGAGCCGAUGUCGGAUUAGCUAGUUGGCGGGGUAAAGGCCCACCAAGGCGACGAUCCGUAGCUGGUCUGAGAGGAUGAUCAGCCACACUGGAACUGAGACACGGUCCAGACUCCUACGGGAGGCAGCAGUGGGGAAUAUUGGACAAUGGGCGCAAGCCUGAUCCAGCCAUACCGCGUGGGUGAAGAAGGCCUUCGGGUUGUAAAGCACUUUUGUUGGGAAAGAAAAGCAGCAGGUUAAUACCCCGCUGUUCUGACGGUACCCAAAGAAUAAGCACCGGCUAACUUCGUG